rnacentral:tRNA from 1 species
GGGCCCAUAGCUCAAUUGGCAGAGCUACCGGCUCAUAACCGGUUGGUUCUAGGUUCGAGUCCUAGUGGGCCCACCA